rnacentral:rRNA from 1 species
AGUGAACGCUGGCGGCAGGCCUAAUACAUGCAAGUCGAACGGCAGCACAGUGGAGCUUGCUCCAUGGGUGGCGAGUGGCGGACGGGUGAGGAAUACAUGGGAAUCUGCCCAGUCGUGGGGGAUAACGUAGGGAAACUUACGCUAAUACCGCAUGCGCCCUUCGGGGGAAAGCCGGGGACCUUCGGGCCUGGCGCGAUUGGAUGAGCCCAUGUUCGAUUAGCUAGUUGGCGGGGUAAAGGCCCACCAAGGCGACGAUCGAUAGCUGAUCUGAGAGGAUGAUCAGCCACACUGGGACUGAGACACGGCCCAGACUCCUACGGGGGGCAGCAGUAGGGAAUAUUGGACAAUGGGCGCAAGCCUGAUCCAGCCAUGCCGCGUGAGUGAAGAAGGCCCUCGGGUUGUAAAGCUCUUUUGUCCGGGAAGAAAAGCAUCGGGCUAAUACCUCGGUGUUCUGACGGUACCGGAAGAAUAAGCACCGGCUAACUUCGUG